GACUUUGCGCAGUGGCGGUACCGUAGCCAAUGAAGUUUAUCUGAGGCGCGGUUAUUGCUAGUUGAAAACUACUCCCAAUACCUCUUACUGAGGUUAUCUACAAUGUUUUCUAUGUUUAAUAUACUGAUUUUAAUUAUCCGUAGGUUCAUUAUGUAUACAUGGAGUUAUUGAUAAUUA
rnacentral:snRNA from 1 species